GUCAGGCCUGCCUGCUAUUCUUUGAAACACUUGCUUAUAAGGUUGGCCUUUGGCUGGCAUUUAGAGACCUGUAUUUCAGGUAAAGGACCCUUGGAAGUUUCACCCACUUCCCCCAGACAUCCCACAUGCUCCUUUUCCCUUUACUCAUUUUGCUUUAUAUCCUUUUGCUGUAAUAAAUUAUAGCUGUGAGUACAACUA